ACGAACGCUGGCGGCGUGCCUAAUACAUGCAAGUCGAACGCUUCUUUUUCCACCGGAGCUUGCUCCACCGGAAAAAGAGGAGUGGCGAACGGGUGAGUAACACGUGGGUAACCUGCCCAUCAGAAGGGGAUAACACUUGGAAACAGGUGCUAAUACCGUAUAACAAUCGAAACCGCAUGGUUUUGAUUUGAAAGGCGCUUUCGGGUGUCGCUGAUGGAUGGACCCGCGGUGCAUUAGCUAGUUGGUGAGGUAACGGCUCACCAAGGCGACGAUGCAUAGCCGACCUGAGAGGGUGAUCGGCCACAUUGGGACUGAGACACGGCCCAAACUCCUACGGGAGGCAGCAGUAGGGAAUCUUCGGCAAUGGACGAAAGUCUGACCGAGCAACGCCGCGUGAGUGAAGAAGGUUUUCGGAUCGUAAAACUCUGUUGUUAGAGAAGAACAAGGAUGAGAGUAACUGUUCAUCCCUUGACGGUAUCUAACCAGAAAGCCACGGCUAACUACGUGCCAGCAGCCGCGGUAAUACGUAGGUGGCAAGCGUUGUCCGGAUUUAUUGGGCGUAAAGCGAGCGCAGGCGGUUUCUUAAGUCUGAUGUGAAAGCCCCCGGCUCAACCGGGGAGGGUCAUUGGAAACUGGGAGACUUGAGUGCAGAAGAGGAGAGUGGAAUUCCAUGUGUAGCGGUGAAAUGCGUAGAUAUAUGGAGGAACACCAGUGGCGAAGGCGGCUCUCUGGUCUGUAACUGACGCUGAGGCUCGAAAGCGUGGGGAGCAAACAGGAUUAGAUACCCUGGUAGUCCACGCCGUAAACGAUGAGUGCUAAGUGUUGGAGGGUUUCCGCCCUUCAGUGCUGCAGCUAACGCAUUAAGCACUCCGCCUGGGGAGUACGACCGCAAGGUUGAAACUCAAAGGAAUUGACGGGGGCCCGCACAAGCGGUGGAGCAUGUGGUUUAAUUCGAAGCAACGCGAAGAACCUUACCAGGUCUUGACAUCCUUUGACCACUCUAGAGAUAGAGCUUCCCCUUCGGGGGCAAAGUGACAGGUGGUGCAUGGUUGUCGUCAGCCCGUGUCGUGAGAUGUUGGGUUAAGUCCCGCAACGAGCGCAACCCUUAUUGUUAGUUGCCAUCAUUUAGUUGGGCACUCUAGCAAGACUGCCGGUGACAAACCGGAGGAAGGUGGGGAUGACGUCAAAUCAUCAUGCCCCUUAUGACCUGGGCUACACACGUGCUACAAUGGGAAGUACAACGAGUCGCAAAGUCGCGAGGCUAAGCUAAUCUCUUAAAGCUUCUCUCAGUUCGGAUUGUAGGCUGCAACUCGCCUACAUGAAGCCGGAAUCGCUAGUAAUCGCGGAUCAGCACGCCGCGGUGAAUACGUUCCCGGGCCUUGUACACACCGCCCGUCACACCACGAGAGUUUGUAACACCCGAAGUCGGUGAGGUAACCUUUUGGAGCCAGCCGCCUAAGGUGGGAUAGAUGAUUGGGGUG
rnacentral:rRNA from 1 species